AUUGAACGCUGGCGGCAGGCCUAACACAUGCAAGUCGAGCGGCAGCACAGUAAUUGCUCCUGGUUUCGGCGGGGGACGGGCGGAUGGUGCCUAGGAAUCUCGCAGGCUAUUUUGUCGAAGGUGCGGACGUGGGGGAUAUUACCCUAUUACUGCAUAGGGCCUAAGGGUGAGAGCUGGGGAUCUCAGGCCCUUGCGCGAUCGAAUGACGCUAGGUCGGAUUAGCUAGUUGGUGGGGUAAAGGCCCACCAAGGCGACGAUCCGUAGCUGGUCUGAGAGGAUGAUCAGCCACACUGGAACUGAGACACGGUCCAGACUCCUACGGGAGGCAGCAGUGGGGAAUAUUGGACAAUGGGCGCAAGCCUGAUCCAGCCAUGCUGCGUGUGUGAAGAAGGUCUUCGGAUUGUAAAGCACUUUUGUUGGGAAAGAAGAGCAGCAGGUUAAUACCUCGCUGUUUUGACGUUACCAAAAGAAUAAGCACCGGCUAACUUCGUG
rnacentral:rRNA from 1 species